rnacentral:rRNA from 1 species
GUGGGGAAUAUUGGGCAAUGGGCGAAAGCCUGACCCAGCAACGCCGCGUGAAGGAAGAAGGUUUUCGGAUCGUAAACUUCUAUCCUUGGUGAAGAUAAUGACGGUAGCCAAGAAGGAAGCCCCGGCUAACUACGUGCCAGCAGCCGCGGUAAUACGUAGGGGGCAAGCGUUGUCCGGAAUGAUUGGGCGUAAAGGGCGCGUAGGCGGCCUGGUAAGUCUGGAGUGAAAGUCCUGCUUUUAAGGUGGGAAUUGCUUUGGAUACUGUCGGGCUUGAGUGCAGGAGAGGUAAGCGGAAUUCCCGGUGUAGCGGUGAAAUGCGUAGAGAUCGGGAGGAACACCAGUGGCGAAGGCGGCUUACUGGACUGUAACUGACGCUGAGGCGCGAAAGUGUGGGGAGCAAACAGGAUUAGAUACCCUAGUAGUCC